AUACGAAGGUCCCAAGCGUUAUUCGGAAUCACUGGGCGUAAAGAGUACGUAGGCGGUUUGGUAAGUCAGGUGUGAAAUCCCGAAGCUCUACUUCGGAACUGCAUCCGAUACUGCCAGACUUGAGUAAUGGAGAGGCAGGUGGAAUUCUCGGUGUAGCAGUGAAAUGCGUGGAUAUCGAGAGGAAGACCAAUGGCGAAGGCAGCCUGCUGGACAUUUACUGACGCUGAGGUACGAAGGCUAGGGGAGCGAAAGGGAUUAGAUACCCCAGUAGUCC
rnacentral:rRNA from 1 species